rnacentral:rRNA from 1 species
UACGAAGGGUGCUAGCGUUGUUCGGAAUUACUGGGCGUAAAGCGCACGUAGGCGGCUUUGUAAGUUAGAGGUGAAAGCCUGGAGCUCAACUCCAGAAUUGCCUUUAAGACUGCAUCGCUUGAAUCCAGGAGAGGUGAGUGGAAUUCCGAGUGUAGAGGUGAAAUUCGUAGAUAUUCGGAAGAACACCAGUGGCGAAGGCGGCUCACUGGACUGGUAUUGACGCUGAGGUGCGAAAGCGUGGGGAGCAAACAGG